UACGUAGGGGCCUAGCGUUGUCCGGAAUUAUUGGGCGUAAAGAGCGUGUAGGCGGCCCGGUAAGUCCGCUGUGAAAGUCGGGGGGCUCAACCCUCGAAUGCCGGUGGAUACUGUCGGGCUAGAGUGCGGAAGAGGCGAGUGGAAUUCCUGGUGUAGCGGUGAAAUGUGCAGAUAUCAGGAGGAACACCGAUUGCGAAGGCAGCUCGCUGGGACGUAACUGACGCUGAGACGCGAAAGCGUGGGGAGCAAACAGG
rnacentral:rRNA from 1 species